rnacentral:rRNA from 1 species
UACGAAGGGGGCGAGCGUUGUUCGGAUUUACUGGGCGUAAAGGGCGCGUAGGCGGCCAUCUUUGGUCAGGCGUGAAAGCCCCCGGGCUCAACCUGGGAACUGCGUCUGGGACGGGGUGGCUAGAGAUCGGGGAGAGGAGCGUGGAAUUCCCAGUGUAGAGGUGAAAUUCGUAGAUAUUGGGAAGAACACCGGUGGCGAAGGCGGCGCUCUGGACCGAUACUGACGCUGAGGCGCGAAAGCGGUGGGGAGCAAACAGGG